GGGCAGCAUGGUCUUAGCUUGCUAAGGCCGAUGGCGACCGGCGCACGGGUGAGUAACACGUAUCCAACCUGCCGUCUACUCUUGGACAGCCUUCUGAAAGGAAGAUUAAUACAAGAUGGCAUCAUGAGUCCGCAUGUUCACAUGAUUAAAGGUAUUCCGGUAGACGAUGGGGAUGCGUUCCAUUAGAUAGUAGGCGGGGUAACGGCCCACCUAGUCUUCGAUGGAUAGGGGUUCUGAGAGGAAGGUCCCCCACAUUGGAACUGAGACACGGUCCAAACUCCUACGGGAGGCAGCAGUGAGGAAUAUUGGUCAAUGGGCGAGAGCCUGAACCAGCCAAGUAGCGUGAAGGAUGACUGCCCUAUGGGUUGUAAACUUCUUUUAUAAAGGAAUAAAGUCGGGUAUGGAUACCCGUUUGCAUGUACUUUAUGAAUAAGGAUCGGCUAACUCCGUGCCAGCAGCCGCGGUAAUACGGAGGAUCCGAGCGUUAUCCGGAUUUAUUGGGUUUAAAGGGAGCGUAGAUGGAUGUUUAAGUCAGUUGUGAAAGUUUGCGGCUCAACCGUAAAAUUGCAGUUGAUACUGGAUAUCUUGAGUGCAGUUGAGGCAGGCGGAAUUCGUGGUGUAGCGGUGAAAUGCUUAGAUAUCACGAAGAACUCCGAUUGCGAAGGCAGCCUGCUAAGC
rnacentral:rRNA from 1 species